rnacentral:rRNA from 1 species
UACGGAGGGUGCGAACGUUGCUCGGAAUCAUUGGGCGUAAAGCGCACGUAGGCGGCGUCGUAAGCGGGAUGUGAAAGCCCAGGGCUCAACCCUGGAAGUGCAUCCCGAACUGUGUCGCUUGAAUCUCGGAGGGGGACAGAGAAUUCCCGGUGUAGAGGUGAAAUUCGUAGAUAUCGGGAGGAAUACCAGUGGCGAAGGCGCUGUCCUGGACGAAGAUUGACGCUGAGGUGCGAAAGCGUGGGGAGCAAACAGG